UACGUAGGGUGCGAGCGUUUGUCCGGAAUUAUUGGGCGUAAAGGGCUCGUAGGCGGUUUGUCGCGUCGGGAGUGAAAUCCACUGGCUUAACUGGUGGCUGCUUUCGUACGGGCAGACUGGAGGUAUGCAGGGGAGAACGGAAUUCCUGGUGUAGCGGUGAAAUGCGCAGAUAUCAGGAGGAACACCGGUGGCGAAGGCGGUUCUCUGGGCAUGUCCUGACGCUGAGGAGCGAAAGUGUGGGGAGCGAACAGG
rnacentral:rRNA from 1 species